CCCUCCGCCCUCAGCCGCCCCUCCUCCGGCCGCCCUGGGGGGCUCCUCCUCUGCUCCCCGCUGCCCGACCUCACCCUCUUCCCUCCCGCGCCGCUGCUCCUCCUCCCGCGGCCUCCUCCUCCGCGCGCUCCUCCCGCUUCCCUCCCGCUCCACCCCCUCCACCGGCCUCGGGAAACCGCACGCGGGCCAGGAUGGGCGCCGCCGCGUCCGCCCGCCCCCGGGCCACCGCGGACAGGAAGGAGGGCGGGGAGGACGGCGCCCCACGCGGGCUGAUUCCUGGGACCGAAACAAUUCCCGGCGGGGAGGGCGGUCACCUCGCUUGACCCCUUCCCGGGCCGGGGAUGUUUGGGGUCUUCCCCUCUGCGCACGUGGAGGUCGGGGACUCAGCCCUGGGGUUCCCGAUCCCCCAAGCUGGUCCUGGGAAGCUGGUGACACUGAAGGCCCAGAGUUGAAGCUGUGUCUUGCUCCAGAUCCCCCAGCUCCUGCAGUGCUCCAGGCCCUGGAGAAUGUCACAGAUCAGGGCACAGAUCUAUCACAAAUCCUGAAUGGGGCUGGAGCAUAUUGGAGUGAAACCAAACUCUAUGGAGAGGGGUGAGAAGAGCGGGAGAAACACGUCCACCACACGUCAAAGGACUCACAGAAGGAAAGACAAGAGCAACAACCCUGAGAUGGUUGUUAUAUAUCAGUGAUUCUAAGCUGGGACAGGAGCAAUUGUGUCCCCCAGGGAACAUCUGGAAAUGUCUGGAGACAUUUUGCUUGUCACAGCUGGGAGAGGAGUUCUACUGGCAUCCAGCAGUAUAUACUCACCUUUGAAUAACCAAGUCUAGAUGUUUUAAAGGAGUGAUGGAAUUAGGAUUAAAAUAAAGGAAUAGAACUUCCAAGGAUUGACUGGAUUUCAGCUGUGAGCAUAAAUGUCUGCCAACAUCACAAAAGAGGGAUGGCCAGACCUGAUGUGUUUCCAUGGACAGACACAGCACUUGUGAUGCAGUCUCGCGAAAAAGUCCAACCUGAAUGGGAUCAAAGCCUGUGAAUCUGAUUACCAGCUUCCAGGAAAUACAGACAACAGUGGUCCUCACGGUCCCCAAAACUGACACUUACUAUCUGCCCCUUUGCAGAAAACAUUUGGUGACUCCUGGGCUGGAUCAGAACUUGAAAACCACUUUCUCUUUUUCUGCCAUGUGAGGAUACAGUGGGAAGUUGGCAGUCUGUAACCCGGAAGAGGGUUGGAAGUCUGGUCUCAGACUUCCAGCCUCCAGAACUGUGAGGGACACAUGUCAGGUUGUUUAUAAGUUACCCAGUCUAUGGUACUUUAUUAUAGCAGCCCAAAUGAAUGAAGACACCAGGAUUUGUCUGUUGCUGUCUCUCAUAGUACUACACCGUUUCCCUUAAUAGCCCCCAUCAAGUUUGUACUUGUGCUUAUUUGUGUGAUUUUUGCCUCCCAGGGACAUUUAGCAAUGUCUGGAGACAUUUUUGAUUGUCAAGACUAGGGAGGUGGGAGGGGCGGUGUUACUGGAAUCCAGUGGGCAGAGGCCACUGAUUGUAGGCUGCUCAGCCUCAUACAGAGCGCUGGACGACAAGACUUAUCCAGCCCAAAAUGUCAACAGUAUUGAGCCUGAGAAACCCUGGGCAAGAAGCAACAGAGGGAAAAAAAACAUGUUUUAUUCUUCACAAUAUAUCUGCAAAGAGCAGAUAAGAUAUAUUUGCUGAAUGAAUACGGUAUUAUCUUGUUAAUCAUAUACAUCACGUCUUCUUGUCAAUCAAAUAACCUCAAAAUCUGUGACCACAGCUUAGA